AUUUAUUUUUUUUCGUUCCACAGAAACCUUCGUCAUGACAUCGCCCGCAGCAUCACCGCAGAAACCGGCCAUCACCAACUCCACCGCGUCUCCGGCCCGUUUGCCGAGCGCGCAACCGACGCCAUCGCACAACUCGCAACCUGCCGCCGCAGCCGCGAUCGCGCAGACCAUCCAGGGCAAAUGGCAGUGCGCCCUCCGAGACAACCCGGUGAUGGCCAACGGGACAAUGGCCUGGACGCGGGUGUGGAGAUUCUCCAAGCUCCUGCUGCAGACCGGAUGUUAGAGGACGAGACGGCCACGCAAUUUUAGACUAAAUAGUUGUUUAAUUUUUCUCUCUCUUUCUUAGUAUCUCCCCAAUUUUAAGCAAAAAAAAAAAAAAAUAAAUAAAUAAAAAAAAAUCUGUACUCAAUCACUAAUAAUAUAUUACACAUUAUAGUCCGUACGCGUUGUGGCACGCGGAUAAAAAGAAACAUCAUGCAAGCAACGGCCGGGUCCACGCACGUCGAGAAAUCGUAUAAACGAAAAAACAAACAGGACCGGGUGUGCUGAUCCUGCAGCGAGGAACACGACGGCAGAUCCGCACCGUUCGAGACGUAAGGAUUUGAAAAUUAAUUAAAAUAAGAUAUCACACCGAUAUCCGUUUACGCGCCACGUGUUGCGUAGACCGUCAAUAUUAUUAUCAUCGACGAUCAUUAACGCGGUUUUCGUUUGCUGCACGGAUUGCUGUCAUCGUAAUAAUAAUGCGUUCUUCUCAACGUGUUCGGGAGGAACGACCACCUACUCCACCAGGACGAUGGCAUUACCUCUGCGACGGCGACAACGUACCACGGGCUUUUUUUUUUUUUUAAUGUUACAACACACCAAUUGAAACUCUCAAGGCGCACCGGUGGUACUGAUCGACAUCUUCACCCCGUGUUCAACGUACGCGACUGCGGACGACACCCGGCAACUGUACGAUUCGAUCGAAUAAUAUUACAUUAUAUUGUAUGGAAACAAUACGCGAAAUUAAACAUUACAGAUUAGGCAAUUUAUUAUAAUUAUUAUUAUUAUUAUUAUUAUUAACAUUGUUGUUGUUGUUGUUAUUAUGACAGGGACGCGUACACAUAUUAUUAUAAUACACACAACAGUGCUGUGCAAUUACUAUACUUAUAGAUUUGUGAAUGAUGUGUUCUAGUUAACAUAUUACUAUUGUGCAAUUAGAGAGACUGUUUAGGUUUUCGUGUCCUCCUCGUAGCAAAAAUUAUGAUAAACAUGACCGUUACCCGUAAUUUUUAGGCGUAACUACCGAUUUUACCUUCAUCUCGAGUAUACAGUACUAUAAAUAUAAAUACACGUAGUGUUAAGCGUUUUUUUUUUUUUCACAAGUCUAGACUCGUCGCGA